GACGAACGCUGGCGGCGUGCCUAAUACAUGCAAGUAGAACGCACAGUUUAUACCGUAGCUUGCUACACCAUAGACUGUGAGUUGCGAACGGGUGAGUAACGCGUAGGUAACCUGCCUGGUAGCGGGGGAUAACUAUUGGAAACGAUAGCUAAUACCGCAUAAUAUUGAUUAUUGCAUGAUAAUUAAUUGAAAGGUGCAAUUGCACCACUACCAGAUGGACCUGCGUUGUAUUAGCUAGUAGGUGAGGUAACGGCUCACCUAGGCGACGAUACAUAGCCGACCUGAGAGGGUGAUCGGCCACACUGGGACUGAGACACGGCCCAGACGACUACGGGAGGCAGCAGUAGGGAAUCUUCGGCAAUGGACGAAAGUCUGACCGAGCAACGCCGCGUGAGUGAAGAAGGGUUUCGGAUCGUAAAGCUCUGUUGUAAGAGAAGAACGGGUGUGAGAGUGGAAAGUUCACACUGUGACGGUAUCUUACCAGAAAGGGACGGCUAACUACGUG
rnacentral:rRNA from 1 species